GAAGUGGAGCCAGCGAGGAAGCACAGGCAAGCCCUCCCCAGCACGUGCUCACUGGUCCCAACAGAAGAACCACUGCUGCAUCCACUGAGGCUCCUGUUGUGAUGGGUUGUGUCACUCCAUGAUAUCACUGUUGCUGAGUCCCCAUCGCUUCUGUGUUGUGGAGCAUUUAGAGGAACACAGUCAGUGUCGACGUGCAGGGCCAUUUUCUUGCUGAGAGGCAUAUCUCAGCACAGCUGACUGAUCAGGCUGAGGACACCCAGGACAACCUCCUCAGGGCCCUGACACCAGGCCAAGUCCAGCUCCUUGAAAACCAAGUCGCAGGUCCAGAGACCAACUGCCCUGCAUGGGGUCUGCAUCUUAGCCUCCUUGGCGGGUAGUGACCAGCACAACAUGGAAGAAGCCAGGGCAGCAUGCAGCCAGCUGCCUUGCAGCCCCAGAGACUCCUGGGCCUUGGGAAGUCAUUAUCAAAGGAGAAGCUGGUCACUUUGACGUCCCUGGAGGGAAGGGUGAACGUGGCAUCCUCACAACCCUGGCAGCCAGCAGCAAGCAUACAUCUCAGACAACCUGUGGGACAGACGACCUUUCCUGGAGCACAAGUGUUAUACCUAAAGUGUCCUAACCCAGUCAGGUCUCAUUCUGAGCCCUGAAAGGGAAGGGGCACCAUGGGCCCCGCAGCAGCAUCCAGGAUUGCCAUCCAGGGGACUCAGCCUUCUGUGACCCUGGCCAGACUUAGAAUUUGGCCCAAGACAGGACAGUCUCACUCAGAGCACUGUGUCAUUACCAAGGGCCUGUGCAUGCCAGGCAAGGCCAAGCUGGCUCAAAGAGCAACCAGCCACCUCUGUAAGGGUGUGCCUGGAGCAGGUGCACCAGCCACCAAUCUCAC